GUUAAGCGACUAAGCGUACACGGUGGAUGCCCUGGCAGUCAGAGGCGAUGAAGGACGUGCUAAUCUGCGAUAAGCGUCGGUAAGGUGAUAUGAACCGUUAUAACCGGCGAUUUCCGAAUGGGGAAACCCAGUGUGUUUCGACACACUAUCAUUAACUGAAUCCAUAGGUUAAUGAGGCGAACCGGGGGAACUGAAACAUCUAAGUACCCCGAGGAAAAGAAAUCAACCGAGAUUCCCCCAGUAGCGGCGAGCGAACGGGGAGCAGCCCAGAGCCUGAAUCAGUGUGUGUGUUAGUGGAAGCGUCUGGAAAGGCGCGCGAUACAGGGUGACAGCCCCGUACACAAAAAUGCACAUGCUGUGAGCUCGAUGAGUAGGGCGGGACACGUGGUAUCCUGUCUGAAUAUGGGGGGACCAUCCUCCAAGGCUAAAUACUCCUGACUGACCGAUAGUGAACCAGUACCGUGAGGGAAAGGCGAAAAGAACCCCGGCGAGGGGAGUGAAAAAGAACCUGAAACCGUGUACGUACAAGCAGUGGGAGCACGCUUAGGCGUGUGACUGCGUACCUUUUGUAUAAUGGGUCAGCGACUUAUAUUCUGUAGCAAGGUUAACCGAAUAGGGGAGCCGAAGGGAAACCGAGUCUUAACUGGGCGUUAAGUUGCAGGGUAUAGACCCGAAACCCGGUGAUCUAGCCAUGGGCAGGUUGAAGGUUGGGUAACACUAACUGGAGGACCGAACCGACUAAUGUUGAAAAAUUAGCGGAUGACUUGUGGCUGGGGGUGAAAGGCCAAUCAAACCGGGAGAUAGCUGGUUCUCCCCGAAAGCUAUUUAGGUAGCGCCUCGUGAAUUCAUCUCCGGGGGUAGAGCACUGUUUCGGCAAGGGGGUCAUCCCGACUUACCAACCCGAUGCAAACUGCGAAUACCGGAGAAUGUUAUCACGGGAGACACACGGCGGGUGCUAACGUCCGUCGUGAAGAGGGAAACAACCCAGACCGCCAGCUAAGGUCCCAAAGUCAUGGUUAAGUGGGAAACGAUGUGGGAAGGCCCAGACAGCCAGGAUGUUGGCUUAGAAGCAGCCAUCAUUUAAAGAAAGCGUAAUAGCUCACUGGUCGAGUCGGCCUGCGCGGAAGAUGUAACGGGGCUAAACCAUGCACCGAAGCUGCGGCAGCGACGCUGAUGCGUUGUUGGGUAGGGGAGCGUUCUGUAAGCCUGCGAAGGUGUGCUGUGAGGCAUGCUGGAGGUAUCAGAAGUGCGAAUGCUGACAUAAGUAACGAUAAAGCGGGUGAAAAGCCCGCUCGCCGGAAGACCAAGGGUUCCUGUCCAACGUUAAUCGGGGCAGGGUGAGUCGACCCCUAAGGCGAGGCCGAAAGGCGUAGUCGAUGGGAAACAGGUUAAUAUUCCUGUACUUGGUGUUACUGCGAAGGGGGGACGGAGAAGGCUAUGUUGGCCGGGCGACGGUUGUCCCGGUUUAAGCGUGUAGGCUGGUUUUCCAGGCAAAUCCGGAAAAUCAAGGCUGAGGCGUGAUGACGAGGCACUACGGUGCUGAAGCAACAAAUGCCCUGCUUCCAGGAAAAGCCUCUAAGCAUCAGGUAACAUCAAAUCGUACCCCAAACCGACACAGGUGGUCAGGUAGAGAAUACCAAGGCGCUUGAGAGAACUCGGGUGAAGGAACUAGGCAAAAUGGUGCCGUAACUUCGGGAGAAGGCACGCUGAUAUGUAGGUGAAGUCCCUUGCGGAUGGAGCUGAAAUCAGUCGAAGAUACCAGCUGGCUGCAACUGUUUAUUAAAAACACAGCACUGUGCAAACACGAAAGUGGACGUAUACGGUGUGACGCCUGCCCGGUGCCGGAAGGUUAAUUGAUGGGGUCAGCGCAAGCGAAGCUCUUGAUCGAAGCCCCGGUAAACGGCGGCCGUAACUAUAACGGUCCUAAGGUAGCGAAAUUCCUUGUCGGGUAAGUUCCGACCUGCACGAAUGGCGUAAUGAUGGCCAGGCUGUCUCCACCCGAGACUCAGUGAAAUUGAACUCGCUGUGAAGAUGCAGUGUACCCGCGGCAAGACGGAAAGACCCCGUGAACCUUUACUAUAGCUUGACACUGAACAUUGAGCCUUGAUGUGUAGGAUAGGUGGGAGGCUUUGAAGUGUGGACGCCAGUCUGCAUGGAGCCGACCUUGAAAUACCACCCUU
rnacentral:rRNA from 1 species